GCUGGUGUUUUAUCUGUGUAUGAACCACCUCUUUCCAUUCCGAACAGAGAAGUGAAAGUGCACAGAGCUGAUGAUACCUGGAUUUAUCCCGGAAAAGUAGGCUAUGCCAGCU
rnacentral:rRNA from 1 species